rnacentral:rRNA from 1 species
GAGUUUGAUCCUGGCUCAGAACGAACGCUGGCGGCAGGCCUAAUACAUGCAAGUCGAGCGCGCCCUUCGGGGUGAGCGGCGGACGGGUGAGUAACGCGUGGGAAUAUGCCCUUCUCUAAGGAAUAGCCUCUGGAAACGGAGAGUAAUACCUUAUACGCCCUUUGGGGGAAAGAUUUAUCGGGGAAGGAUUAGCCCGCGUUAGAUUAGGUAGUUGGUGGGGUAAUGGCCUACCAAGCCUACGAUCUAUAGCUGGUUUGAGAGGAUGAUCAGCCACACUGGGACUGAGACACGGCCCAGACUCCUACGGGAGGCAGCAGUGGGGAAUCUUGCACAAUGGAGGAAACUCUGAUGCAGCGAUGCCGCGUGAGUGAAGAAGGCCUUUGGGUUGUAAAGCUCUUUCGUCGGGGAAGAAAAUGACUGUACCCGAAUAAGAAGGUCCGGCUAACUUCGUGCCAGCAGCCGCGGUAAUACGAAGGGACCUAGCGUAGUUCGGAAUUACUGGGCUUAAAGAGUUCGUAGGUGGUUGAAAAAGUUGGUGGUGAAAUCCCAGAGCUUAACUCUGGAACUGCCAUCAAAACUUUUCAGCUAGAGUAUGAUAGAGGAAAGCAGAAUUUCUAGUGUAGAGGUGAAAUUCGUAGAUAUUAGAAAGAAUACCAAUUGCGAAGGCAGCUUUCUGGAUCAUUACUGACACUGAGGAACGAAAGCAUGGGUAGCGAAGAGGAUUAGAUACCCUCGUAGUCCAUGCCGUAAACGAUGUGUGUUAGACGUUGGAAAUUUAUUUUCAGUGUCGCAGGGAAACCGAUAAACACACCGCCUGGGGAGUACGACCGCAAGGUAAAACUCAAAUGAAUUGACGGGGACCCGCACAAGUAGUGGAGCAUGUGGUUUAAUUCGAAGAUACGCGCAGAACCUUACCAACACUUGACAUGUUCGUCGCGACUCUAAGAGAUUAGAGUUUUCGGUUCGGCCGGACGAAACACAGGUGCUGCAUGGCUGUCGUCAGCUCGUGUCGUGAGAUGUUGGGUUAAGUCCCGCAACGAGCGCAACCCUCACUUUUAGUUGCCAUCAUUAAGUUGGGCACUCUGAAAGAACUGCCAGUGAUAAGCUGGAGGAAGGUGGGGAUGACGUCAAGUCCUCAUGGCCCUUACGUGUUGGGCUACACACGUGCUACAAUGGCAUCUACAACAGGAAGCAAAACGGCAACGUUAAGCAAAUCCCGAAAAGAUGCCUCAGUUCGGAUUGCACUCUGCAACUCGAGUGCAUGAAGCUGGAAUUACUAGUAAUCGUGGAUCAGCGUGCCACGGUGAAUGCGUUCCCGGGUCUUGUACACACCGCCCGCCACACCAUGGGAGUUGGUUCUACCUUAAGGCAAGGUUUUAAACCCUUGACCACGGUAUAGUCAGCGACUGGGGUGAAGUCGUAACAAGGUAACC